GUGGCUUGGUUGAAGCUAUGAGCUGCCCCAGGAGCAUACACUGAAAACACAUCCUGUGACACCAGGCAUGUCUCAUUUACUGUUAGCAGCAAAGCUUCGUAAUUCAGUCUCAGUUUACUCAUUGCAAACAGGGGAUUUCUAAUGCAAGGAAGCUGUUUGCUUGGAAGAGGGUUCAAGCGAUCAGUAUUUCACAGCAAGCAUCAAACGUCUACGAGAUUACAGCAUUAAAGCGGUGAGGUUUAGGAUUCCUGAAAUCUGAAGCUUUAAAAUUGAAAGGAACUUGCCGGUAAAGGAACCAGCUCCCAUCCCACACAUUCAGAGCACAGGAAGGUCUGAGUGGAUUGCAGAACUUUUCUAAUGUGAACGACAUCAUAUGCAUAGCUCAUUGACUGGCUACUCAGUAACUCUGUGCUCUUCAGCUUUUUAUCUCCUCUUCGGAAAUAACUGUGCAGAAACCUGGACGUUGUCAGGUGAGUUGUGGCACACAUCAAUACAGACUCACAGGAUAGCUGCGGUUGGAAGGGACCUCGGAGAUCAUCUGGUCCAAACUCCCUGCUCAAGCAGGGUCAGCCAAGGCAGAUUGCCCAGCAUCGGGCCCAGGUGGGUUUCCAACAUCUCCAAGGACAGAGAAGCCACAGCCUCUCUGAGCAACCUCUUCAGCCACCCUCACAGCAACAAAGUGUUUUCUUACGCUCAAACAGAAUUUCCGGUGUUCCAGCUUGUGCCCGUUGCCUUUCGUCCCGGCACUGGCCACCACCGAGAAGAGUCUGGCUCCGUCUUCUUUACUCUCUGCCAUCAGGGAUGUACACGCGUGGAUAAGAUCCCCCCUGAGCCUUCUCUCGUCCAGGCUGAACGGUCCUGGCUCUCUCUGCUUCCCCUCGCAUGACAGAUGCUCCAGUUCCUUCAUCGUCUCUGGGGUCCCUUUGCUGGGCUUGCUCCAGUAAAUCCACGUCUCUCUUGCAGUGGGGAGUCCAGCGCUGGACACAGCACUCCAGGUGUGCUGUGGCCUCACCGGGGCUGAGUAGAGCGGGAGGGCCGCUCCCUUUGACCUCCUGGCAAAGCUCUUCCUAAUGCAGCCCAGCAGACCGUUGGCCUUCUUGCCACAGGGCUACGUUGCUGGCUCGUGGUCCGCUUGCUGUCCACCAGGGCCCCCGGCUCCUUCUCUGCAAAGCUGCUCUCCACCUGGUCAGCCCCCAGCCUGUCCUGGUGCACGGCGUUAUCCCUCCCCGGGGGCAGGACUUGCCGCUUCCCCGUGUUGAACGGCAUCGAGUUCUUCUCUGCCCAUCUCUCCAGCUUGUCGAGGCCCCUCUGAAGAGCAGCACAGCCCUCCGGUGUAUGAGACGCUCCUCCCACUUUGGGGUCAUCUGUGAACUUGCUGAGGAUGCUUUACGGCCUCUGGCCCAGGUCAUUAAUGAAGAUAAACAGUACUGGCCCCCAGUAUCGGCCCCUCGGGGACAUCAUAGUGACUGGACUCCAGGCGGACACUGUGCCAUCGACCACAAUCCCUCUGAGCCCAGCAGUUCA